rnacentral:rRNA from 1 species
UACAGAGGUCCCAAGCGUUGUUCGGAUUCACUGGGCGUAAAGGGUGCGUAGGUGGUCAGGUAAGUCUGAUGUGAAAUCUCUGGGCUCACCACAAGAACUGCAUUGGAUACUAUCUGGCUAGAGGAGUGGAGGGGGGACUGGAAUGACUUGGUGUAGCAGUGAAACGCGUAGAUAUCAAGUGGAACACCAGUGGCGAAGGCGAGUCCCUGGACACUUCCUGACACUGAGGCACGAAAGCUAGGGGAGCAAACAGG